UUCAGUGGUAGAAUGCUCGCCUGCCACGCGGGAGGUCCGGGUUCGAUUCCCGA
rnacentral:tRNA from 1 species